rnacentral:miRNA from 1 species
ACAAAGUACAGCAUUAGCCUUAG